rnacentral:lncRNA from 1 species
UGUAUCUCAAUAAACAAGUUGUUAAAAUGUAGAGUCUGGCUGGGAAGUGGUAAAGUGGAACCUGUAAUCAUACGGUAGAUAAUUCUAUUAAAAGCAAACUUGCCUCAUUUUUAAGGGCUAGAUCAAUGUUAAGUAUUUUUUAAAAUAAUGUGCACUUAAUAAUUCCAUAAAACAAUGUUGUCAUUGUUAUUGUCUAUCAUUAUGUCUAUCAUGAAACUACCCAAUGAGAGGUCCUGGAAGGCAGAAGCAGCAGAUACGUAGAAAGAGAGGUGAUACAAAGUGUUAGAGGUCCUGAAACAGGAUAAAUACAGUGAGAACACAGAGGAAGGGGCCACUAGUUUGACAGGCUCGGGGAAGUGAAGUCAGGAAAUGCUUCAACGGAGGAGGCACAUUUUUGUUUGUUAUCUUAGCACCAUGUGCUGUGUUGGUCAGCCUUGUUGAAUGCCUCUUCACUUAGAGAACAGGUAAGGAGCAAUGUAUUGUCACUCCUCACUCUGGCAGCAUUAGCCUUACAGUCUGACUGUGGAGACUUCUCAUGACGUUUUCAAGGCCUUUUUAAAACAAAUUUAGCAAACUUUCACUGUAUUCCAAAUAUAUAGGAAGAACAGACUUUAAAAACAUAUUUUAAAGCUCAUAUAUUUGGAAAUGAAAAAAAGCAGGAGUCUGGGAUCCAGAUGAAUAGAGUUUUUGCCAUAGCUCUUCCACCAACAGUCAUGUGUUAUGAAAUCAUUGCAACUCAGUCUUAAUUAGAUUUUAUGUCAAAUGAGGCUUUGGGACAUGGCGCUGUCUCAAGUUCCUUCUAUUUUGAAGCAUUAAAUCACAUACACACGGUGGCUCAUCUGUGGACAUCAAAUAUGUCCACAAUUCCUUUUUUUUUAGUUUGUCUCUCAAUCGCUGGAGCCUAAUUCCCCUCCCUUUGAGUGUGACUUAGUGCCUCACUUUUAAUGAAUAGAAUCUGGUGUGAGUGAGUGUCUGACCUCCCAGAUUAGAUAAGAGGCAUUGUAGUUUUCACCUGGCACUCUCUUUCUUAGUUCACUCAUUCUAGGGGAAGCCAACUGCCAUCUAGUAAAAACACUCAACCAGAUCUAUGAAAAAGCCCUUUAUGGUUAAGAAAUUGAGGCCUCCAGCCAACAGCCAUGAGAGGGAGCCCUUGUUCCCCAGGCAAGCCUUGAGAUGACUUCAGCUCCAGUCAACAUCUCCACUACAACCGCAUUAGCAACCCUGAACCAGAAACCUUCCACCUAAGCUGCACCAGAAUUCUUAACCCACACAAACUGAAAUAAUAAGCAUUGCUAUUUUAAGCCUCUAAAUCUAGAAGUAGAUUACUAAUACACCAUCCUUCAAGCCAUCUCCUUAGCUCACGACCUAAAACCCAGAACUUCUGGUAUUCAAAACUCAGUGGACAACAACACAGAUGCAGAAUUAUUUUUUUCUCUUUAAAGGUUUGAAUAUUUAUUUUUUCUACCUCCAUCCCCACCAUAAGAUGGAAAUCUUAAUACUCUCUCUCUAGACCUUCCUCUGUGUAACAGCAUUAUUGCUAAAAGGCCCUAGUUGCCAUUUUUAGUUUACACAGCUCUUUUAACUGUGUGUUCAGUCUUUAUAGUUUAAGAAAGCAAAUUUGGAAAAUCACUGAACAUCGCCUCCUCGAAAUUCUGUCACCUAUUUUCUGCAGCUUCAGUCAAGCCAGUAUCAACUACAUAGGGGUGAUUGCACCCCCUACAACUUCUCAUUAGCAGGCAUAACUCAAGAUUCCAGAACAUAGGGCAAGAGGCUCAGGUUAUUUUAUUUUUUUUCACAUGGAUACAGGGACUCUCUGUAACAUAACCACAGAAAGCUUCAGUUUCCCAAGGUAAUUAUAAACACUUAAAUUAUUAUUAUUAUUAUUUUUAAAAUGUUUAUUUAUUUAUUCAUGAGAGACACAGAGAGAGAGGCAGAGACACAGGUAGAGGGAGAAGCAGGCCCCAUGCAGGGAACCCGAUGUGGAACUUGAUCCCGGGUCCCUGGGAUCAUGACUUGAGCAGAAGGCAGAUGCUUAGCCAUUGAGCCACCCUGGGAUCCCUAAACACUGAAAUUAUUAAUGGCUCUGGAUUAACAAGACAAAAAAUAGUGCAGUAUAAAGAGUAUCACCUAUGUAACUACUGGUCCUAUGAUUGAGUCACAGCAUUGCUAUUACUUGCUGUCUGACUACAAACAAUUUGUUAAACUGCUCUAAGCUUAAAUUUCCUCACCAGGAAAAUGAGAGCAUUGAUAAUCUGUUUUACAUAGUGAUUAUAAGAAGUUAGGAAUAUACUGAAUGUGGAAAGUCCUCAAUAGAGUAUUUUACACAUUGUAGUCAUUGUUGUUUUAUUAUAUUGAGCCACCCAUGAACACAUACAAAUUACUUAAACAUUGGUUAAAUUAGUAGGUCUAAGACACUUGUAAUAUUGCCAAAUCCAUUUCUUCUUUCAGAACAACGGAAGUGUAGAGACUCCAGAAAGCUGCAUUUCACGGUUCUACCACCAAGCAAAUAAAACCAUGGGCAAGUUGUUUAUCUUCAAAGACUAGUUUCCACAUCUAGAAAAUGGGCAAAUGAGUUAGAGGAUUUUAAAAUAGCUUUUUCGGUGCAAGUAAUUGUAAAAUAACACUUGUGGUUAAAUGGAGAAGAAAGAAUUUUAAAAGUCAGAAAAAUAAUCAGCAUAUAUUUUUACCUACUAUAUUAAGGAAAUAAUUUUUACUUUGCAUUCAUUUCAUUUGAAACAGUAUGUGAAAAUGUUCUUAUCUGUUUUGAUAAGUAGCCAGAUGGUGUUCUAAAGAUACAUUUUCUUUGUAGUUUAAUGCAAUUGAAAUGAGUUUGCUAGUCACCUCUUGAAACCUAUGGAGCUUUAAAAUCAAUCAUUUAGAAUAUGAAGAUCCUAGUGAUGCUAUUAAACUCUAUGACUUCUAAAUGUUAAAAUCACCAAAGAACCUUUAAUUUUACUGGUAAUGACAUAUACAACCUUUUAUAGGAUAUUGAGUAUUCAUAUUAAAUCAUAAUAAAUAUUCAUGCUGAACCAUAAGCCACCUGAUAUUGCAAAUGGUCAUUUAUGUUGUCAUUUAUGUACCAAUGUCAGUUCUGAUAGGAUAAUGUUUAUAAUUUAUUAAGCAAUAUGUCACAAGAAAAUGUCCAAUUCCACACUAUUUCCAUAUUAGUAGCAAUGAAUGUUGCCAGGGCAUGGGGAAUAUAAAUUAUUUCUCAGUUUGAACAUGACGCUACUACAAUAAAAUGCCCAUGGCUAAAAAAGUCAUUAGCAUGCACUAUAGAACAAGCUUGUCAUACAUAAUACACACAGACACAUACAUACGCACACACACACACAUACACACAAUUAGGGCAUUUGGUAUUGUACACAAAAAGAAAUAAAGAAAUAAAAAGCAGUGAACAUCAAAGCUAAAAGUCCUCUGAUUUACAGCAAGCACAGCAGGGAUGAAUGGGAGGCUUGCAAUUAGAUGCAUAGGGAAAGCUUAGCUCCUUUAGAGUAAGCCAAAUAUUUAUCCUUUAUCUAUAAGGGAGCAAGGUUCAAAGUCAGGUCAGCCAGGGAAACUUGGAACUUAAGGGAACUAGAAAACAGAUCUUUUGGAAAAAGCUAUUGCUUCCAAUGGAUGACUAUGUGACUAAUAAAAAUGGAAGGCCUCAUUAAUUUUAUUUAACUGUUAAUCACCAGAUGUUCUGAGCCAUAUGGAAAGAAAUUUAAUUUAAUGUUUCCAGAGUUGUGAUGUGUGUGUGGUAUGUGUGUGGGGUGGGAUGUGUGUGCUGUACCAAUGUGUGUGCGAGUGAGGGAGUCUGUGUGUGUGUGUGUGUGUAUGUGUGUGUUAAGUGCAAUACAAAUAGAUAUUUAGCUCCUAACAAAAGGAAUUUGUUUUAUCAGGUCUUUUAUUUCAACCACAGAGAAAGCAGCACUGUCAUAUUUGUGAUAACGCCCUAGCACCAUACAAUAUUUUUCAGUUUACAGCAUAUUUUUACAGGUACUGUUUUAUCUGGUUUCUAGUUUGCACAACAAUGCUAUUAUAACUAGUUUAUUACAGAGGAAACUCAGGUCCAGAAAGCACAGAGUCACAAAACUCAUAAGUGCAAGAUCAGUGCUUGAAACCAGGAGAUCCACAGUCUCCACCAAAGUCCCUAAGAAAAUGUGGAGAAAAGACACAUAACUGAAAUUUUCCUGGUGUUGAGAAAACUGUAUUAGGUUACUUCUUACCAUUUCUCCUUUAAAUUAUUCAUCUUCUUCAUCUUGUCUACCUCCUUCCCAUUGUUACUAUCUAGAGAUUGAAAAUAUGGUUCAGACAUUCACUCAACAAAAUUCUUGUUAUCUACUAUAUCUCUGGAAUAGACACUGCCAAUAUGUCUAUGAGUAAAAAACCAUGCCUAAUUUCAGGUUGCAUUUGCUUAGAGUCUGCUAAAGGAAAGUCAAUUACUUUUGGUAUUACUAUCCCAGAAGGCAUUCAGAAUUCCUCUAAUUCUCCCCAAAGAUGCCAGGAACAAAGGCAGAUAUGCUAAGACAGCCUGGUACCAUGGGGAAGAAACAGUUUGUGAUGUCCUGUUUUUAAAACUCAAAGUUUAAUGUAGAUUUUUAUUUACAUUCUCAUUUUCUUCCCCCACCUCCCCUUUUUAUUUCUUCUUUCCUUUUACUUUUCCAAAUACCAAUCAACAACAUUUUCUACCUCAUCUAACCAAAGUAUAUGUUCAGUGAUCUAGGCUUUUUUAGGAGACCAAUCGCCAAGACUGAAAUUUCUUCUUUAGGGAGCCUUUAGUGGUGAUACCUGCAACUGCAAAGGAUUUGACAGUUUACUGUGAAGUCAGGGUCUCUUAUUGAUGAGGCUUGAGAUUCCUUUCCAAGUCUGAAUCUUGGUAGUUUAGGAAUGCCAAACUGUAGGGAUAGUUGCAUGUAUGGGAAGAUUUCCAUAGAGUGCACAGAAAUCUUAGCUUAAAAUCAUAGUAAGAAAGAGUCCAAUAUGUUGAUUUCAAAGCUGAAUUCUCAAGUGGUCAAGCUGGUUUAAAAUUAAACCUUUACUGUAAUGACUGCCAUGGUAUUAUCUGCUACCAAGGCAUCCCAGAGACUCCAACCAUAAAGCAUCUGUGCUAGCUACCACAGAAACUCCCAUUAUGCCAUUGUCUCUAACCCUCUGCAGGCUUGUGGCUCUCAUGGUUGUGUAGAACAAUGAAUCUCUGGGAAACCAUAUAGCCAUUCUUCUUUUGGGAUCUACUACCCACCUGGGGGUGCUAAAAAGAAGAAAGAUAUGUAUGUCUUCCAUUCAAGAAGCCCAGAAAUCUUACCAUCUCCCAGUCUCAGAGACUCAUUCUUUUCCUGAAGGAGAUUCUCCUUCCUUCAAGUUUCCUUUCAAUACGUCCCUCUCUCCUCACCUUCAGAAGCCUACCACAGGGACACCAGGGUGGCUCAGUGGUUGAGCAUCUAUCUGCUUUUGGCUCAGGUCAUGAUCCCAGGGUCCUGGAAUCGAGUCCCACAUUGAGCUUCCCACAGGGACCCUGGUCCUUCCUCUGCCUCUCUCUGUGUGUCUCUCAUGAAUAAAUAAAAUCUUAAAAAAAAAAAAAAGCCUAUCACAAUCUCCCUGGAAGAAGUAGAGUACAAAAAUUAAAAGCCAGUUUACAAUGUGCCCUGCAUUCUUGCAUGUAAAUUCUGUUUUCUUUCAUGCCACAGACCUCCCCUCAAACAAGGAAGCAUGGUGCCUGCCAGUUUUUGAAGACAGGUUAUGGAAAUUAUUAUGGAAAUAUGGAAAGAAAAAUGUAAA